CCAGACUCCUACGGGAGGCAGCAGUGGGGAAUAUUGCACAAUGGGGGAACCCUGAUGCAGCGACGCCGCGUGAGGGAAGACGGCCUUCGGGUUGUAAACCUCUGUCGCAGGGGACGAAGAAGAUGACGGUACCCUGUGAGGAAGCCACGGCUAACUACGUGCCAGCAGCCGCGGUAAUACGUAGGGAGCGAGCGUUGUCCGGAAUUACUGGGUGUAAAGGGAGCGUAGGCGGGGAUGCAAGUUGGAUGUUUAAACUAUCGGCUCAACCGGUAAUUGCAACCAAAACUGCAACUCUUGAGUGAAGUAGAGGCAGGCGGAAUUCCUAGUGUAGCGGUGAAAUGCGUAGAUAUCAGGAGGAACACCGGUGGCGAAGGCGGCCUGCUGGACUGCGACUGACGUUGAGGCCCGAAAGCGUGGGGAGCAAACAGGAUUAGAUACCCCUGUACAC
rnacentral:rRNA from 1 species